ACAGUACUCCCUCCGUCCAACAAAGGAUGUCUCAACUUUAACUAAAUUUGAAUACAUCUAUACACUAAAUCACAUCUUACAUCCAAAUUUUAACAAACUUGAGACAUCUUUUGUUGGACGGAGAGAGUACCAC
rfam:Brachypodium distachyon strain Bd21 chromosome 3, whole genome shotgun sequence.